AAAUCAUGAAGGAAAAGUCAUCCACGCUCAAGCAAUUAGGAUGUCUUUCCCAAGACUGAACUGCCAUCACUUCACUGCUGCUGUUGCUCAUCUGGGUGCUCUGCUGAACCCCUCUGUCCAUCCAUCCUCUUUGUCCUGCUCAUGGACUGGCUCCUACGGAGUGCAGGAAGAAGCACGAGAAAAGCCAGAGCUUUUUAAAAGUCUGCCCCUAUUUUCAAACUGGAACAUUUUGUCACCAUUGAUGUACAGCACCAUGGAGAAUAUGCAGCGUGCUCAGUGUG